rnacentral:rRNA from 1 species
GACGGAGGAUGCAAGUGUUAUCCGGAAUCACUGGGCGUAAAGCGUCUGUAGGUGGUUUAAUAAGUCAACUGUUAAAUCUUGAGGCUCAACCUCAAAAUCGCAGUCGAAACUAUUAGGCUAGAGUAUAGUAGGGGUAAAGGGAAUUUCCAGUGGAGCGGUGAAGUGCGUAGAGAUUGGAAAGAACACCGAUGGCGAAGGCACUUUACUGGGCUAUUACUAACACUCAGAGACGAAAGCUAGGGUAGCAAACGGG